UACCUGCAGCUCAAGUAGUGACCACUAUUAUUGGGCCUAAAACGUUCGUAGCCUGUUUGGUAAAUGCCUGGGUAAAUCGUGUAGCUUAACUAUACGAAUUCCGGGUAGACUGCCAAACUUGAAACCGGGAGAAGCUAGAGGUACUUCGGGGGUAGAGGUGAAAUUCUGUAAUCCUAGGGGGACCACCAGUGGCGAAGGCGUCUAGCUAGAACGGGUUUGACGGUGAGGAACGAAGCCCUGGGGCGCGAACCGGAUUAGAUACCCGGGUAGUCCAGGGUGUAAACGCUGCUUGCUUGAUGUUAGUUGGGCUCCGAGCCCAAUUAGUGUCGGAGAGAAGUUGUUAAGCAAGCUGCCUGGGAAGUACGAUCGCAAGAUUGAAACUUAAAGGAAUUGGCGGGGGAGCACAGCAACGGGUGGAGCGUGCGGUUU
rnacentral:rRNA from 1 species